UUAAUAAACCAUACUUAAAGCAAUUCAGGGUGUAGGGAAAAAAGUACCAUAUAAUAAAUAAACUUUGUGCUUUUCAUAAAAAUUGUAUACAUCAUUGGAAACUCUAGAAGUCACAGAAAACAAUGUGUAUCAUCUAGUAGGGAAAAAUACGGAAUAUACUUUAAAAUUUCUUUUAUUCUUAGAGCAAAACUGGGGUGAACAUUUCUGUAUUUAUUAAAAUUUGUGUAGGAAUAAAGAAUUAGCAUAGUUGUUCUGAAGAGAUCAAAUCAUAUUUUGAGUGUGAAACAUCUGUCAAUGUGAACAUGCCUAAGAAUCACCAUAAGAGUAAUGGCUGAAUUGCCUAAGAAGCUGAGUUAUAGUGGUUGAUUGAGGAAAAUGAUCAUCACAUGCAGUUACAAAUUUUUGUUGCUGAAGCCUUGUAUUUACGGGUCAAGAAUUGUCACUCCGAACUUUUAUCACGGUCAGCUUCAAUAAAUGUAAUGUCAUUGGCUGCAGUAUGAUUCUCUAACAAGCUGGUGUUUAAAAGUGACAAGAAUCUUGAUUACAUGGGAGAAAAAUCAUUUGUACAAUUUUUUUUCAUUCCUAGACCUUGAAUGGAAAAUAAAAAAUAAAAAUAAUAAUUGAAAAAA